rnacentral:rRNA from 1 species
CUACGGGGGGCUCCAGUGAGGAAUUUUGCGCAAUGGGGGGAACCCUGACGCAGCAACGCCGCGUGAGUGAAGAAGGCCUUUGGGUCGUAAAGCUCUGUCAACUGGGAAGAAAUUAGAGUUGUUUAACAGAUGAUUCUAUUGACGGUACCAGUGGAGGAAGCGCCGGCUAACUCCGUGCCAGCAGCCGCGGUAACACGGGGGGCGCAAGCGUUAUUCGGAAUUAUUGGGCGUAAAGGGCGCGCAGGCGGUCUUGUCGGUCAGGUGUGAAAGCCCGGGGCUCAACCCUGGAAGUGCACUUGAAACAGCAAGACUUGAGUACGGGAGAGGAAAGCGGAAUUCCUGGUGUAGAGGUGAAAUUCGUAGAUAUCAGGAGGAACACCGAUGGCGAAGGCAGCUUUCUGGACCGAUACUGACGCUGAGGCGCGAAGGCGUGGGUAGCGAACGGGAUUAGAUACCCUUGUAGUC